CCUACGGGUGGCAGCAGUGAGGAAUAUUGGUCAAUGGGCGAGAGCCUGAACCAGCCAAGUCGCGUGAGGGAGUACUGCCCUAUGGGUUGUAAACCUCUUUUGUCGGGGAGCAAAAGCCGGACGUGUCCGGCUGUGAGAGUACCCGAAGAAAAAGCAUCGGCUAACUCCGUGCCAGCAGCCGCGGUAAGAAGGGGGAUGCGAGGGUUAUCCGGAUUUAUUGGGUUUAAAGGGUGCGCAGGGGGAUUUUUAAGUCAGCGGUAAAAUCGUGGGGCUCAACCCCAUCCAGCCGUUGAAACUGGGGAUCUAGAGUGUGCGAGAGGUAUGCGGAAUGCGUGGUGUAGCGGUGAAAUGCAUAGAUAUCACGCAGAACCCCGAUUGCGAAGGCAGCAUACCGGUGCACAACUGACGCUCAGGCACGAAAGCGUGGGUAUCGAACAGGAUUAGAUACCCUUGUAGUC
rnacentral:rRNA from 1 species